GUCAACAGCCACACCACCCUGAACACACCCAGUCUCAUCUGAUCUCGGAAGCUAAUCAGGAUCUGUCCUGGUUAGUACUUAAAUGGGAGAAUCCUAAGUAUGACUCCACUGAGAGGAGUCUUCUGGAAGUUUUUAACU
ensembl:rRNA 5S_rRNA 5S ribosomal RNA